rnacentral:lncRNA from 1 species
AUCUUCUAAUGAACUCUUAUAUUGUGAUGAAGUCUUUAGGACUACUUUGAUCAAUAAAGAAGGAUUUAUCACAUAGUCCUUAAACUGGUUCGUAAUUAAAUGAUACGCUAUUACUAGGACGAUAGCGAUAUCAAGUGUAGGUCGUUAUAUGCCAUAUGCGUUGGUUGUCCUCGUAACCAAAUGGUAUAGAGAUACUGGUAUGACAUGCAGGUGAGAUAUAGGAGUACAUCAUCACUGAACAUGAUCAACUGUGGAGCACUCUACUGUCAAGGGUAGCUCGCGAAGGGUAUGG